AAAGAAAUAUUCAUGACAAUCAACCCCAGAUAUUCUCAGAUGCCAAGAAUUAAGUGCUCAUUUGUAUAGGGUAAUUAGAUGUAUUUUGAUCGUUUUCGAGAUAACCUUUCAGUAAAUCAAAGGCUAUAUUUUAUGGCCCAUACAAAGGGCGCGCGACUUCAACUACAAUUAAAACUCAAGCAAUGGUGCAAGCACUUCCAACACGAUACCACCAACUUUCUUGAAGUUGAGUUAACCAAAUAAGAACCAAAACCAGUCGAUCGGUCGGGUUGUCAACUUGCAAAAUGCGAGUUUUCUCAAGCUCUGAGAUAGGAAGAAGAUUGGUGAUUUUGUAAGACAAGUCAGCAAUUGACUGUCUAGCCUCCAUUUUUAUAUCGAUUAAAGGUACAACCCAAUGAACAUAUGUUCGGCGGGCAUUCAUGUAAAAAGCAUCUAUUCUUUCAACUAAUUCUUCAUUACUUAGAUUACCAUACAUUAAUAGAUAUUCAGGCUCAGGAAAUUGGAGUGGAGUGGCUCUCAAAGGAGUAUCAUAGUGCUUUUCAAUUUUCACUCUCGGAAACAAACCAUCAGCUCGAAAAUCGAUUAUACGAACACAAUAUGAACCACGGGCUUCUACAAGACUUCUCCCAUCGAUCAAAGGCUCGACUUGGAUAAUUUCUAAAAUUGUACCAUACUCAGAACAAAAAAGACGUUGACCACGAGCAUUUCGAAGCUCUCGAUGCUCAUUAUGACCAUCACUUCGUGCUCUUAAAGGCAUUGCAAUACAAAAUCGCUUAGAAGUCUCCAGACAUUUUUUGAUCAUGAUGUGGUAUCGCAGUUCAAAAAUAUGAAGGAAUGUCGGCAUUCUGGGAUAUGCAAGCAUGCUAAUAAAUAACGGAAGCCAACUUUCCUGUUCCUUUUCUUCUUCCCAUGAUUUUUGACGUUCUAACCAAUUAUCUGGGUAAAAAUCUCGCAAAAAUGUGGUAAUAGAGUGGCUUUUCGCAUGUUCCAACACAACAGGAGAUGGGAGCCCAAAACGACAAGUCGGGCAUUGAGGAGACUGGGUUAGUGCUUGCAUAAGGCAAGGGCCACAAAAUGUAUGUCCACAUGGAGAAACAACUGGGUCAUAAAGCAUGCCAAAACAAAUUUGACAUUCCAAUUCUCGAGAAACAUUCUCUUGUAAUAGGUCCUCCAUAUGUAAAAAUUCAGCUACUGCAGUCUCAUAAGAAGAUGAGGAAGGUAUUAAGUUAUGAAAAGUGGGAGGCAGCAGAGUAAUUUCAGUCAAUGCAGAAGUACAAGGUGGUGACGAAGAAAGACAAUCGUCAUGACAAAUUUCCUCCUUUAAUUCCAGCGGUACCAAACUCUGCUGAGAAAUUUGAAACUCUGUAGUUUUAAUCAAUUCAACCACUUUGGAAAUGAUCACAUCUUUCACUUCGGUCUCUACAGAAUAAUGCGGUUUCUUAUGGUUGUAAAAGCAACAUCUUGAGGGACUAACUUUUCCAGAGCUUUCCGAAGAAUAUGCGUUUCGAAAGCAUUUCCGACAGACUGUUCCUCCACAAGGAAGUGUGACAGGCCAGUCAGGCAAACAAUUACAGCCCGGACAAAUAAAGUAAGACCUUAUUUUAUUAAAUAAUACUCCUGGCCUUUCUUUUCUCAUUUUUAAUCGCUCGUAAAACUAAUUCAGAUGUCGAUUGCUAAUGUCAAGUAAUUUUACACUCGUUAAUUCCAUGGAUGACUCCAGAGAAUACUAGAAACUUAAAAAUAUUGUUUUUUUUUUUUUAAGAAAGAAUAUGAACCUUCUUCAAUUAUUUCAGUCGAAAAAGGAAAACCUCAUUAAUUCAUGAAAUUACUGAUGACAUAUCUUCAUCACGCACAAACACUUGCUGUAGCUAUCUAUAAAAUAAAGACUUAUUAACAAUUCUUAAAAGGAUUUAUUCCUUUAAUUUAUGUUAAUAAAGCAAUUCACAACAGAAAGACAAAGUGAUGCUGUGUUGUAAACGGAUGACAGCAUAAAUAUGGUGACAUUAUAUAUAUAUAUACAUAAUAUAACGUUACAUCCGUGUGAAUUGCUAACAUGAUGAUGGAAAAGUAAAAAAGACGAAUAUUGCAAUUAAAAAGCUUUAAUAAUUAAAAUAAAUUAAUAACUUUAAUUGAUAAAAGUACAGGAAGUAAUUACCAGUUUAUUAUGGUGAAACGGCAAACAAUUGUAUACCGAUAUAUUACAUACUGAUCGACAUGUGACUCUUACUUUCAGUACAAAUUUAAGAUGAUGGUCAAUUAAGAAGAUAGGCGUUCAUAUAUUUCAUUACAAAUAAUCAUAAAAAAAACAGAUUCAUGAAGAAAAACCAAGCAAGGUGCUAAUCAACCUGAAAGACAAGGCAAUCUCAAUGGCACGUUUAUAAAAGGGUACCGGAAUUCUCUAACCUUAGUAGGUCAAGCCUGAAUGAAGUAAAACACCUAGGGGUAGAAUAUGCAGAAUAGGAAGAAAAGCAUGAAAGCAAAUAUUCAAACAUUGUAUUGAAAAAGAAACCCAACCAAAUCUAGGACCAAUAAAUUAUGAUACAUAUGUUUUCAAUGAUUCUUGUACGGAAUUCCAGAUUCGCAAGUUCCGGUUGGCCCAAUCUAUAUGACUAUCGGUCAAACGGUUUAAAAUUCUGUUUAAAUCCUGACGAUGCGUGUCUUGGUAGCGCUGGAACUCAAAGUUUACUCUGUCAGUUACAAAUGCGACAUCCUUAGUGGUAAUCAAGAGCAUGUCCGUAAGAUGGGUAACGCUUUCUGCGGUCCUACCGAUGUUGUUGUGUCGCGAUACUUCCACAUUAUUAUCAGUUAGACCAUUCAAUACAAAACGUAUUCUAUCAAAUACAUCACGAAUCGUGCGCGGUAAAACAGUAACUGACGUCAAAGAGGUAUCUUGUGAUACUGUUUCAAAAUCUUGACUUUGAUUGUGCCGUAAAUCCCGCAAACACUCUUCCGUUUGCUCUCCAUUUCCAUCAUGAUAGUUUUCCAAGGGCUGAUCGGUUCCCAUCAAGGGAACCGACGGCUCUUUUGAUUCUUCAUCAUUAAAUAGGGGAUCUUCUUCGGGAAUAGUUGAACGAGAAGUUUGAGCGUUAUUUACACCCAAAGUAGCUUCCGAUUCCCUAUUGAGUAUUACGUCCCCAUCUACCUCACCAAUAGCCUGUUGUAGACGAGCAGCAUGUCUCUCCCUGCGCUCCAAAAGAUGAAGAAA